UACAGAGGCCUCGAGCGUUAGGCGGAAUCACUGGGCUUAAAGCGUGUGUAGGCGGACUUCUAAGUACCUUGUGAAAUCCCACGGCUUACCCGUGGAACGGCUGGGUAUACUGGGAGUCUUGAGCCACCUAGGGGCGAGUGGAACAAAUGGUGGAGCGGUGAAAUGCGUAGAUAUCAUUUGGAACGCCAACGGCGAAAGCAGGCAGCUGGGGAUGCACCGACGCUGAGACACGAAAGCCAGGGGAGCGAACGGG
rnacentral:rRNA from 1 species